rnacentral:rRNA from 1 species
AGCGGCGGACGGGUGAGUAAUGCAUAGGAAUCUGCCCGAUAGUGGGGGAUAACCUGGGGAAACCCAGGCUAAUACCGCAUACGUCCUACGGGAGAAAGGGGGCUCCGGCUCCCGCUAUGGGAUGAGCCUAUGUCGGAUUAGCUAGUUGGUGAGGUAACGGCUCACCAAGGCCACGAUCCGUAGCUGGUCUGAGAGGAUGAUCAGCCACAUCGGGACUGAGACACGGCCCGAACUCCUACGGGAGGCAGCAGUGGGGAAUAUUGGACAAUGGGGGAAACCCUGAUCCAGCCAUGCCGCGUGUGUGAAGAAGGCCCUCGGGUUGUAAAGCACUUUCAGCGAGGAAGAACGCCUAACGGUUAAUACCCGCUAGGAAAGACAUCACUCGCAGAAGAAGCACCGGCUAACUCCGUGCCAGCAGCCGCGGUAAUACGGAGGGUGCAAGCGUUAAUCGGAAUUACUGGGCGUAAAGCGCGCGUAGGUGGCUUGAUAAGCCGGUUGUGAAAGCCCCGGGCUCAACCUGGGAACGGCAUCCGGAACUGUCAAGCUAGAGUGCAGGAGAGGAAAGGGAAUUUCCCGGUGUAGCGGUGAAUGCGUAGAGAUCGGGAGGAUACCCAGUGGCGAAGGCGGCCUUCUGGACUGACACUGACACUGAGGUGCGAAGCCGUGGGUAGGAACCAGGAUAGAUACCCUGGUACCACGGUG